GUAGACUGAGCUACGAUUCGUACGACCAAGUCUACGCCCAGAGUGGCUAGCGAUAGGGUUAGUCUAAUUUAUGUCCAGAGCGGCUAAAUUACGACUCGCGAAUCUAGUUUCGGGUCUUAGUUACAAUUCAAAAGAAUAAAGUAAAUAAACAACUCAAUAGAAAAGCAAAAAACGAUUAAUCUCAUUAAAAUUUUCAGAUUACAAAAAAGAUAACAAAAAAGAUAACAAAAUGAUGAGGACUUAGAUCUAAUCUUGUGCAGCUUCGUCCUUCAUCUUGUCGAGAGCCUCUUUAUUCUUCUCGAGCUCCUCAGGAUGUUGCUCAACCCACGCCAUUAUGUCCGUGAUGUAGUCGGGGGGUAGAGCGGGAUACACGGAAGGACCAAAGAAUAUGAGCUCUUGAAGCUGG
rnacentral:lncRNA from 1 species